GAAAUAGCAAUCUGCAGCCGGCAAGGGGGCGGCACUUAGUCAGGCUCCGCCCACAAGACCCGGCUGCCGUCCCCGCCCGCCUGCGCGGGAUCGACUCCGCAUGCGCACUGGAGCCUCGGAAUACAGCCAGGACUCUCCCGUCGGAAUGCGCCCCUAAGUUGGGCCAAGCCCAUUCAUUCAGGGGCUCCCGAGCCACGUAGGCGCCAUCCCUGGCCAGAGGGGUUCUGAGGAGGUGGGCAAGGGCAGACACUCUCUCCCGGUCUCAAAUUCGAAAUAGGGACUAGAAGGGAACUUCACGCGAGGCCUCGCAACUGUCGCGAGAAUCAGAACAGGAAAUCUAGGAACCGAGAACACUAAGAGCCCGCGGAUUUUAAACAGGAAAAAGAAAGGGCGGAGCAAACUCUGGCGGAUAGUUGUGAGUAAUCCCUGGUCCUUGGAAUAAGUGUCGACCUGAGACAGAAGGGGAACUGUCAGAGAGCUGCCGGAGACCCUGAAAAAGGCCAGAGACGGGGACUUGUGGGGCUGACGAAUGGAAUCACCCAAGGAGAGGUCUCUGACUCUAACAAAACACCUUGGGGACGGAGCUCCUUGGCUGGGAUACAGAGCAGACAAGUCCGGGAUCUUUUAGUGAAUUGCUGCCGGCUUCUAAGGCCUGGAGCAGAUAUUCAACAACAAACUCCACGGACCUAGAAACUCUCCACUUAUCCUACUAUUGUAGACGGUGGCUUACUUUUAGUCUUCCCUAUGCUCUAAGCUUCUGGUAGUAGGAAUCGUGCCUAACUCACUACUGUAUCUUGUGAACCUAGCCCCGCGCCUGGUGGCACGUCAAAUUCUCGGUAAAUAUUUGUGGAUUAAAUGUGAAAGACUGCCUGAGUGUUUAACCUGGAUUUUCUGAGUCGCUGAUGGAGAACAGUAGGUAGACGGGGAACCAGCGCCCUCUGGUGGGCUUGUGGUUCGUGACGAGAACAUGCUGGAACCGUGCAUCCAGAGACAAAGUCUUACUAUGUUAUCCAGGCUGGUGUGGAACUCCUGACCUCAAGCAGUCCUCCCACCUCAGCCUCCCAAAUUGCUGGGAUUAUAGAUGUGAACCACUGUGCCUGGCCAAUAACCACCUUUAACUCUAUACUUUAAGUUUACCUGGUUUUGACAUUUAUAGAAAUUGGGACAUGCCUAGGAUUGGAAUUACUGCUUCAUGUGAUAUGCAUAUUCAACAUUAGUAGAUUUUCUUUUCCUUCCUUCCUUCUUUCCUUCCUUCCUUCCUCCUUUCCUUCCUUCCUUUCCUUCCUUCCUUCCUUCCUUUUCUUUCUUUCCUUUUCUUUUCUUUCUUUCCUUCUUUUCUUUCUUUUUUUUUCUUUUCUUUCUCACAGGGUCUCACUCUAUCUGGGCUAGUCCCAAACUCCUCGGCUUAAGCAAUCCUCCCACCUCAGCCUCCCAAAAUGCUGGGAUUAUCAACAUUAGUAGAUAUUACCAUACACUUUUUCCAGUGUGAUGUAUGAAUUUAUAUAGUCUUCAGCAGUUGAUGAGUUUUCAUUAUGCCACAUCCUUGCCAAGAGUUGGUAUUGUUGUUGUUCUUUUAAAUUUUAGCCAUUAGGUAAAAAUUUUAGAGCCUAAAAUUUUUAAAUGGCCAGUUCUGCAAGGAUUUCCUCUCUUGGAUAUUUUUUUAAAAACCUUUUAUUUUGAAUUUUAGACUUGGAUAGAAGUUGUGAAAAUAGCAAAGAAAUUUCCCAUGUACCUGUCACCUAGCCUACCCUGGUGAUAACAUAAUAUCUUAUAUAACCAUGAUAUAAUUAUCAAAACCAGGAAAUUGAAAUUUAUACAGUACUAUUAGCUAAACAAUGGACCUUAUUUGGAUAUCACUGGUUUGAUAUUACGUGUGUGUGUAUAAUUGAAAUUUUAUUGCAUGUGUAGAGUUGUGUGACCAUGAGGUGAGUAAAUGGGUCUUCAGGGGUAUGACAGGGUAAAACUGAUGCCAAGGGAAAAGCUAGUAGACUCUAUAGUACUAAACACAAUGUCAUUUAAUAUAUGAGUAGCUUUAAAAUUAUUAUAUCAAAAGUCAGUGAUAGGAAAGGCAGCUAGUUACGGUAGCUAAACACACACAGCUGGGUGCGGUGACACAUGCCUAUAGUCCCAGCUACUCAGGAGGCUGAGGCAGGAGGAUCACUUGAGUCCAGGAGUUCAAGUCCAGCCUGAGUGAAAUAGCAAGACCCCGUCUCUAUAAAAACAACAAAAACCCACUCUCACACAUUUGCACACUGUGCGUCUACCUGUUGGGGGAGCUGUGCACAUGGGUAAAGUCCCAGGGUCACUGGUUGAAGUUCACUUUGCAUUAUGACACACUCAGAAGGAAAGAUAAGUUUCUGCCCUUACAUCCAAUUUUACUUGAAGACAACUUUCUGUAGGUGAGGCCAGUGAGAUAACUUUCUGCUGACACCCCACAGCAUCCUCGUUCCUUCUGCCGGACUUCCAGAUUUCUAUUUCUGGCCCAAACCUCUCUCCUGAACAUCACUCCAUGGAUUCGUCUACAACCACUUCUAGUAUUUUCUUCCACAGCCAGGGAAGAAGUCCAUAAACAGCUCCCGGCUACAUCAUACUUAGGACGCCCAGAAAAAUGUAUCAGUAUAUCACAUCUCAGGGAAACCUUUUAUUGACUCUGUUUAGGUGAUGUGCUCAACAAUAAUUCACCACAUGGCCCAGGAGCCACCACCCUGGACCACAAACCCCAUAGCAGAUGCAGUCAGUACCUCACUCAUAUACCCUUGGCUCACUCCAAAGGUUACCUGCAGAUAGUUCCUUUAUGACCCGGUGUGUCUGUCUGUCGGAGGGAGUUCUUUAGCCCCUAGAGUCAGCUUGGCUGACAUGCAGGGCAGGCUGGAAAUGCUGUGGAGGUAACAACUCAGGAGCAAGCCACAUCCGGUGAGGAAAAACAAUAGAGGACAGAUAAUCCUGUUCCUUACCCUUCAGUGGGAUAAUUUUGAGGUGUGUUCUCCACAGUUUUGCAGAAGGCUUAGAGAGACUGAGUCACAGUUGUCCUCAGUGGUAACCUGCUCAUUAAUGCAUCCUUUAUUUGGUUUUCCUCCUCUCUCUGACUUCCCUUCCCCCUCACUGUGUUUUCUGGGAUAAACUCCCAAAUAAACUACUUGUACCAAAAUCCUUGCCUUGGGAUCUGCUUUCUGGGAAAUCAAAAUUAAGACAACCCCUGUAAAGGGAGGAGGCCAUCUUCCUGAGUGCCCCAUCAAGACCACAGGGACCAGGGGGAGAUCUUAGACCCCAAAACCACAUUGUGACAAUAUCUUUGCUGACAUCCCACUUUAUUUCCUUCCUUUUUUUUUUUUUUUAAGAGAUAGAAUCUUUU
rnacentral:lncRNA from 1 species